rnacentral:lncRNA from 1 species
GGGUUCAUUUUUUUCAACACUCCUAACCCUGACCAACCAGCUACACCAUUCAUUGUAUGUGUCUGAAUAUGUUCAAAAUAAAUGAACCACGAAACAUGAGAUUUUAAGAAUUGGUUGUGCCAAUGUAAGAAGAAUUUACCUUUAGGCUCUCUGUCACUAGUGAUUUACUAUUUUUAGGUGUUUAACACAUUAUAUGUAUUUAGUAGUGAUUAUUUAUUUACUUGACUGAGGUAAUUCAGCACCCAUGACUCUGAGCUUUCUAGCUGAGUUGAGGGAAUCUUGCUUUCAUUCAUUUGGCCAGCAGCUACCUUUGUCAUAGACCUCUGGUGCUUUGCUUCCCAUGAAGCCAUCUGAGAUUGCCAACUUCACACUUUUGAAACAGCCUGUAUCAGCCGGCAAUGCAUGAUCAACCAGUGGAAUUUGAAGGGGCCUUACAUCAUAUAUAAAACAGGGAAAAAAACCUCUCAUCAUCAAAUUGAGCUCCACCCUAUUCAAACACAUACAUAUACAUACAUAAAAGUUUAAUGAUUAGUUCAUUUCUCACUUACUAAAAAAGUACUAUUUUUGAGGUCAAGCAAAAUAAAUGACAUUUUGUAGAAACUUUUGAAAGAUAAUGUUCCGACAAUUGUUUACUGCUAAUAACAUUGCAUACAAUACUUAGAAGGAAGGAGAAUUAGUGUUUUUUAGGUCUUUCUCAAAGUAAGUGCUAAAGGGGGAAAUCCAACAAUUUCAAAGAAUAUUUUAAUAGUUUUGCUUUAGUGUCUGUAAUGAACCUUACUGUAGAUGAUAAUAUGUUAAGGUUGAUUCACCACACCAUAAAUUAACUGGAUUCAUGGUCAGAAAAUUGGCUUACACUGAUACCCCCAAUUAACAGAGACCUUUUUAACUAUGAUGUGCCAUUAGAGCUUGUAGAUGGUACCCAUUUAGAAAUAUGGCCAUAAAAAUCAUGUGAUGACCAGUAAUGGAGCAGGAUGCUUUAUUAAAACCAGCUUUAAAACUGAAUGUUACUUAAUGGAGUAGAAGUUGCUGAGGUCAACAAGUAGUCUAAGGUCUGACAUAAUAUACAUGCACUCAUUAUUGUCUAAUUACAUUCUUUUUGACAACAGAUAGCAUUUAUCAGAGCAUUAAUUCAGAUGAGAGUUUUGGCUAUCAAGAUUUGUGGAUUUGAAACAGAACUGAAUGCGACCUGAUUCAAGUCUUGAUUCCCCUGGCCCCAUUUUUCCACAGGUUGGCAAUUCCAUUUAUCAGCUUCAUCAUUCCCAUAAAGUUCUGAGCUGCACCAAGAAAUUGGUGAACAAGGACAACAAAAGCAGCAUACAUUGUAUGGAUUAUCUCAACGCUAUUGUCUAAUGGCUGUGUUUAAUGUGAUCUAUCUGGAAAAUGAGGACUACGAAUAAAA